rnacentral:rRNA from 1 species
GACGAACGCUGGCGGCGUGCUUAACACAUGCAAGUCGAGCGGUAAGGCCCUUUCGGGGGUACACGAGCGGCGAACGGGUGAGUAACACGUGGGUGACCUGCCCUCAGCUCUGGGAUAAGCCUGGGAAACCGGGUCUAAUACUGGAUAUGACUCCAUGACGCAUGUUGUGGGGUGGAAAGCCUUGUGCGGCUGAGGAUGGGCCCGCGGCCUAUCAGCUUGUUGGUGGGGUGANGGCCUACCAAGGCGACGACGGGUAGCCGGCCUGAGAGGGCGACCGGCCACACUGGGACUGAGACACGGCCCAGACUCCUACGGGAGGCAGCAGUGGGGAAUCUUGCGCAAUGGGCGAAAGCCUGACGCAGCGACGCCGCGCGAGGGAUGACGGCC